ACACGUAGGGGCCUGACGUUGUUCGGAAUCAUUGGGCGUAAAGGGCGCGCAGGCGGCCGUCCAAGUCCGGUGUUAAAUGGUCGGGCUCAACCCGAUCAUGCGCUGGAAACUGGGCGGCUUGAGUCCCGUAGGGGAUGCCGGAAUUCCAGGUGUAGGGGUGAAAUCUGUAGAUAUCUGGAAGAACACCGAUGGCGAAGGCAGGCAUCUGGCCGGAGACUGACGCUGAGGCGCGAAGGCGCGGGGAGCGAACAGGUUUAGAUACCCUGGGAGUCCGCGCAGUAAACGAUGCGCACCAGGUGUCGGGCGGCAGCGCCCGGUACCGGAGCUAACGCGAUGAGUGCGCCGCCUGGGGAGUAUGCCCGCAAGGGUGAAACUCAAAUGAAUUGACGGGG
rnacentral:rRNA from 1 species